CACAUCAAUCAACAGCAUUACUCCACAUGUUGAGAUAAAUUUCCUGGUGCUAAAGAAAGUGUCAUGAAGUAUUGCAGUAGCGUGGUGAUAGGUUAUUCACUUCACACGCUUCAUGUCUCUGAAACUGUAAGUGGGAAUGGGACAAGGAAAUUCUCUACAUUAGUUACAAAUUUACACAAAUUUACCUA